UACAGAGGGUGCGAGCGUUGUUCGGAAUUACUGGGCGUAAAGCGCGUGUAGGCGGUCUAAUAAGUCAGAUGUGAAAUCCCGGGGCCUAACUCCGGAAGUGCAUUUGAAACUGUUAGGCUGGAGUGAUGUAGAGGAUGGCGGAAUACCCAGUGUAGUGGUGAAAUACGUAGAGAUUGGGUAGAACACCGGUGGCGAAGGCGGCCAUCUGGGCAUUAACUGACGCUGAGACGCGAAAGCGUGGGGAUCAAACAGG
rnacentral:rRNA from 1 species